rnacentral:rRNA from 1 species
AUUGAACGCUGGCGGCAGGCCUAACACAUGCAAGUCGAACGAGUGGCGGACGGGUGAGUAAUGUCUGGGAAACUGCCCGAUGGAGGGGGAUAACUACUGGAAACGGUAGCUAAUACCGCAUACCAUCGGAUGUGCCCAGAUGGGAUUAGCUAGUAGGGGGGGGAACGGCUCACCUAGGCGACGAUCCCUAGCUGGUCUGAGAGGAUGACCCACUACACUGGAACUGGGACACGGUCCAGACUACUACGGGAGGCAGCAGUGGGCAAUAUUGCGCAAUGGGCGCACGCCUGAUGCAGCCAUGCCGCGUGUAUGAAGAAGGCCUUCGGGUUGGAAAGUACUUUCAGCGAGGAGGCGUUACUCGCAGAAGAAGCACCGGCUAACUCCGUGCCAGCAGCCGCGGUAAUUC